GGAGCAGGAAGGGAGGCCGACUCCCUCGGCUGCCCGCCGAGCCCAGGGAGGUCGUACAUGUGCAUUUGGAGUUUCCUUAAGAAUCCCGACCUGAGGGAAGGGGAUUGGCAGUGGAGCUUCCAGGAAUGGCUGGAAAGUUGGGGUCAGGGGACGCUGGCCACAUGGGGAGAGAGCUAAGAAAAGCAGCAAAAGAAGAAAAGAAAGGAAAGAAGGAACGGGCUCCCUCGAAAGCCUGGUCAGGCGAGCGCCAGUAUGGAAGUGGGCAUGGCACCUCAAUUGCAGAGAGUGUCCUGGGUUUGAAUGGUGCCCCCCAAAAAGACAUAUUGAAGUCUCAACUCCUGGUAUCUGUGACUGUGACCUCAUUUGGAAAGGGAGACUUUGCAGCUGUAAUCAAGGUAAGAUGAGGUCAUACUGUAGGAGCAGGGUGGGCCCUAAUCCAGUGAUUGGCAUUCACAACAGACCAGGGAAAUUGGGACACAGACACACACAGAGAGAGGAUGGCCACACGAAGACAGAGGCCAAGAAGGAUUGCUGGAAACCACCAGAAGCCGAAAAUGGCGAGAAAGGGGCUUCAGUGGAGCGGGGGCCUGCCAGCACCUGGAUCUCGGACUUCUGGCCUCCAGAACCGGGAGAGAAAAAUGUGUCUUGCUUGAAGGCCCCGAUUUGUAGUACUUAUUAUGGCCG
rnacentral:lncRNA from 1 species